UUGCUCCUUAGCCAAAUGGUAAGGCAUUGGACUUUGAAUCCAUGAACCCAGGUUCGAACCCUGGAGGAGUAGUC
rnacentral:tRNA from 1 species